UACAGAGGUCCCGAGCGUUGUUCGGAUUCACUGGGCGUAAAGGGUGCGUAGGUGGUGAGGUAAGUCGGAUGUGAAAUCUCCGGGCUCAACCCGGAAAUGGCAUUGGAAACUACCUUGCUGGAGGAUUUGAGGGGGGAUUGGAAUACUUGGUGUAGCAGUGAAAUGCGUAGAUAUCAAGUGGAACACCAGUGGCGAAGGCGGGUCUCUGGGCCGAUACUGACGCUGAGGAGCGAAAGCGUGGGGAGCAAACAGG
rnacentral:rRNA from 1 species